rnacentral:misc_RNA from 1 species
GAUCCAUUCCAAGGAAGUAUAAUGUCAUUAAUAUCAAAAUUGCUAGGAAUGACCUGCUUACUAGAGUUGUUGAACCAAACAUUUUGUAUAUAAAUUUGGCACGUUUGUAUAAAUUGGAUUACGAGUACAGUGAAAUUAUCAUUAUAAUUAACAGUACUUUGCUCCGUUGUUAGUAAUGUUGCAAUAUUCAUGGACGACGUAUUCAUGGGACACGGAUCAGUGUGCCGUGACUACACAUGGCUAGAUGAAAUCUGCAGAUUCCGAAUAUACUAUUUUGAUCGAUUAACUGAUACCAUGCCGAUGAUGAUGUACUGUCGAAUUUGUUUGACCACAACAGAAUGGCGAUGCAACAAGAUCUUUAUCUGUGCGCGUGCGCGAGUUUAUAUAUUACUUAAAAUUUCUAUUAUAUAUAUAUAUAUAUAUAUUAUAUAUAAAUAACAUUAUUAUGAUAUUUGUACAUAUAUCAUGUAGAUGAAAUCCUAAAUAAGUAAAUCUAAUAUACAGGGUGUUACUGAACAGAUGGUACAAACCAAAAGAAGAUAAAUGCAUGAAAAGUAAAGUCAAAAAUGUAUAGAAUAAAAUUUUGUCAUAUAACGCACUGUUUUCGAGAAAAUUGAAUUAAAAAAUUUGUCAAGUAUGCUUAAACUUAACUAAUCAUGAACUAAAUAUGCGUAAACGAUACAUUUUAAAAUAAAAUUUUUGUUUCAAGCCUCGUUUUCAAGAAAAUAGAGUUUGCAUAUGUUUAGUUAAGAGCUAUCUUGGUACACGCGCAUAAUAAAUUUUCAAAUUUAUUUUUCUCGGAAAAAAAAGAAUGUAAUUCUUAUGAAAGGAUUUUAUUACAUGUGUUUGACUUGUUUUUUCAUGUAGAUUCAUUUCCUUUCGGUUUGUACUACCAGUUCAAUAACACUCUGUAUAUACAGAAUGACCGAUUUUAAUUUAUAUACGCAAAUUACUCAUACAACAAUAUAUCAAUAUAUCAAUUGUAUAAAAAAAUAGUUCAGAUAAGAAGUGGGGGUUUCGAGGGGGCCAUAAGCUGGUGUAAGUAGUUCUUUUGAAGACGACGCACAAACAAGGCAACGUAAACACAAGAAUACCGCUUCGCGUCUUUCCUUGUCUUUCAUACAUUAUAUUUGACAAAUUAAAGUUAAGAUAUCUGUUAAACUAAUGGUUUCUCGAUAUAAAUAGGUUAAUAUAGUAUAUAAGUAAUGUAUAGGUAAUAUGGUAUAUAGGUAUAUGGUAUAUAAGUAAUACAAAAACGUGUCAUCUUCGUACGAACUUUAUAUGUCCGUAUACAGAGAAA